GACGAACGCUGGCGGCGUGCUUAACACAUGCAAGUCGAACGGUGAAGCGCCUUCCUUUUUGGUGGGUGUGGAUGAGUGGCGAACGGGUGAGUAACACGUGAGUAACCUGCCCCCUUCUUCUGGAUAACCGCAUGAAAGUGUGGCUAAUACGGGAUAUUCUGGGUCUGUCGCAUGAUGGGUCUGGGAAAGAUAUUGUUUCGGUGGGGGAUGGGCUCGCGGCCUAUCAGCUUGUUGGUGGGGUGAUGGCCUACCAAGGCGGUGACGGGUAGCCGGCCUGAGGGGGUGGACGGUCACACUGGGACUGAGACACGGCCCAGACUCCUACGAGAGGCAGCAGUGGGGAAUAUUGCACAAUGGGCGCAAGCCUGAUGCAGCGACGCCGCGUGAGGGAUGGAGGCCUUCGGGUUGUGAACCUCUUUCGCCAGUGAAGCAGGCCUGCCUCGUUUGUGGGUGGGUUGACGGUAGCUGGAUAAGAAGCGCCGGCUAACUACGUG
rnacentral:rRNA from 1 species